rnacentral:misc_RNA from 1 species
GACGGAGGGUGCUAGCGUUGUUGGGAAUCACUGGGCGUAAAGGGCGCGUAGGCGGCGGAGGCAGUCGGGUGUGAAAGCCCGGGGCUCAACCCCGGAACGGCACUCGAUACUCUUCGGCUCGAGGUCGGAAGAGGAGGGUGGAAUACCCAGUGUAGAGGUGAAAUUCGUAGAUAUUGGGUGGAACACCGGUGGCGAAAGCGGCUCUCUGGUCCGAACCUGACGCUGAGGCGCGAAAGCGUGGGGAGCGAACAGG